rnacentral:lncRNA from 1 species
UUUUUCUAGUUAUGCUAAUAUUCUUUUAAUAAAUAUUAAUUGUAUAUUUCAGAAAAUGUUUGUCUGUGCUCUAUGCGCUAAAGAAUAUAAAAGCAAGUCUGGCUUAAUUAAGCACGAGAAGAGGCAUGCGGGCGUUGGCAAGCAUAAAUGUCUUCAAUGUGGUACGCUUGCCUUCUCCAGAAAAGACUUCGAGACGCACAUAGCCAGGCACAGCAAUGACAGACUAUAUGUAUGCACCAAAUGUAAUGUGCUUUUCAGGCAAGCCAUUUGAAACGCAAAAAAAGACAUGCAAGAUCACUCAAGGCUUUAGGAUUCUGAUGGGAAAUAUGAGUGUGACAUCUGCGGGUCAAAGUACAAGAAGAAAUCGGACCUAACGGAUCAUGUGA